AAAUGCACUGCACAGCUAUUGUAGCGUUAACCUUUUAAGUUAAAAAUUGAGGGAGAAUACCCUCUG
rnacentral:tRNA from 1 species